AAUAAGAACAUUUUUCAGUUUUUUAUAUAAUGUUUUGACUCUUCGUUUUAUUUGAAAAUUUUUUUGCGAUUAAUAUUUUUAUUCUUACUAGAUGAUAAAAUAUGAAUAGUAGUUUAUGCGUGACUAAUUUUUUUAAGUGUUUUAACAAAAAUUUUAAAUAAAAUAAAUAGUCAAACGUUGUACACGGAAAAAC
rnacentral:pre_miRNA from 1 species